AGGGUUCGAUUCUGGCUCAGGAUGAACGCUGGCGGCGUGCUUAACACAUGCAAGUCGAACGGGAUCCAUCAGGCUUUGCUUGGUGGUGAGAGUGGCGAACGGGUGAGUAAUGCGUGACCGACCUGCCCCAUGCACCGGAAUAGCUCCUGGAAACGGGUGGUAAUGCCGGAUGCUCCAUCACAUCGCAUGGUGUGUUGGGAAAGCCUUUGCGGCAUGGGAUGGGGUCGCGUCCUAUCAGCUUGAUGGCGGGGUAACGGCCCACCAUGGCUUCGACGGGUAGCCGGCCUGAGAGGGCGACCGGCCACAUUGGGACUGAGAUACGGCCCAGACUCCUACGGGAGGCAGCAGUGGGGAAUAUUGCACAAUGGGCGCAAGCCUGAUGCAGCGACGCCGCGUGAGGGAUGGAGGCCUUCGGGUUGUAAACCUCUUUUGUUAGGGAGCAAGGCACUUUGUGUUGAGUGUACCUUUCGAAUAAGCACCGGCUAACUACGUGCCAGCAGCCGCGGUAAUACGUAGGGUGCAAGCGUUAUCCGGAAUUAUUGGGCGUAAAGGGCUCGUAGGCGGUUCGUCGCGUCCGGUGUGAAAGUCCAUCGCUUAACGGUGGAUCCGCGCCGGGUACGGGCGGGCUUGAGUGCGGUAGGGGAGACUGGAAUUCCCGGUGUAACGGUGGAAUGUGUAGAUAUCGGGAAGAACACCAAUGGCGAAGGCAGGUCUCUGGGCCGUUACUGACGCUGAGGAGCGAAAGCGUGGGGAGCGAACAGGAUUAGAUACCCUGGUAGUCCACGCCGUAAACGGUGGAUGCUGGAUGUGGGGCCCGUUCCACGGGUUCCGUGUCGGAGCUAACGCGUUAAGCAUCCCGCCUGGGGAGUACGGCCGCAAGGCUAAAACUCAAAGAAAUUGACGGGGGCCCGCACAAGCGGCGGAGCAUGCGGAUUAAUUCGAUGCAACGCGAAGAACCUUACCUGGGCUUGACAUGUUCCCGACGAUCCCAGAGAUGGGGUUUCCCUUCGGGGCGGGUUCACAGGUGGUGCAUGGUCGUCGUCAGCUCGUGUCGUGAGAUGUUGGGUUAAGUCCCGCAACGAGCGCAACCCUCGCCCCGUGUUGCCAGCGGAUUAUGCCGGGAACUCACGGGGGACCGCCGGGGUUAACUCGGAGGAAGGUGGGGAUGACGUCAGAUCAUCAUGCCCCUUACGUCCAGGGCUUCACGCAUGCUACAAUGGCCGGUACAACGGGAUGCGACAGUGCGAGCUGGAGCGGAUCCCUGAAAACCG
rnacentral:rRNA from 1 species